rnacentral:sRNA from 1 species
CCACACUUGAGUUAUUUCCAUUCCAGUUCACAUGUUGAAUUCUCUUCUUCUGGUUGACUUGGACAUCAACAUCUGCUGCUCUUAGUUCCUUGUCAUAAAACAGUAAAAAGCAAAGAAGCAAACAUUUACUGGGAACUCGCAGUGGAUCAGGCCUGUGAUGUUCAUUUCACAGAUGUGUUUUUCACUGAUUCCUUAUCAUCCGAUGUUGGAACAGUGAUGCUCAUUUUAAAGCUGACAGCAUUGGAAUACAAGAAUGUUGAGGCAGCACUGACAUUUGCCCUGAGUGCUGGCCUAUGUAACUAAUCAUGGCCACAUUCUUACUCUGCCUCUCCCAAAGACGCUUCCUGCAUCUUCCUAAGUCAGGCCACUGUCCCAUCCAUCCCGACAAGCUUGGCCUCUGACUGAGCUGUGGAUUUCAGUCCUGUUACUUUUCCAUCCAGAGAGUCUCCUUUGGGUAUCUCCCCUAGGUGUCACUUUUACUCAAGAACAUGGGCUCUGUCCUCAGGGUGGGGCAAGGGGCAAUUUCUGCCCUUCUCCCUCUGAGGAACAGAAGGGUGCUAAUUCCUUACAUCACUGCCAAUGUUUGGGAUGGAGGGAAGGGAUGGUAAAGAAUCAUGCUGGCUGGGUGAGGAAAGCAAUGACUGACAGGAGGGAAAGAAGGAAAGGGUGAGGAAAACAAGGCCAGGGGUUGCUAUUGGCUAUGUAACAAAAGGACACAGCCAAAGCCCCCUGUGUUCACUCUGCAGACCUGGUUCCUGGUGAUGCGGGGGCAGAUGUAAUUCUUCCUGCCCAUGGCAUCACAUCUGGAAGGAGCACAUGUGUGCACGAGGCUGCAGGGUUGCUUGCCUCCCAGGUGUGAUAAGCAGGCACAUGUCUGAAUCUAUGUCUCCACAGAAUUUAUUUUUUACUGUAGGAGCACAUCAGAUUGGAAAGCCACAGAAAUGGCAACCUCUUUAAGCCACCAAGGCCAUUGAUCUGAGUUGAUGAGCUUGCCAGGAGGCAGCUCAUACUGCCGUUUGGAGAGAUGGCCUAAGAAAAUUGAAGCACUGGGGGAGAUGAAUUGGAACUCAGUUCAAGGAGAUUUCUGGUUAUAAUCUGAGGCUCUUAAUUAUGUCUAUAAGUCCACCCCACCCCAUCCCCGCAUUGUUUUUUAUAGUACUAAAUUUAAACGUAUUCAUCUCCUGGUUAUCUGUAUAUCUCUGAGUCGUUUGUUGUUGUUGCUGUUGAUGGGUAGGAGGUCCCAUUCUGAUCAUGUCUACAUGUGCUUCACUAGACUGCAGCCCACCCUCACCCUUCACUUCUACACUUCCCAACCCACCCAGCUCUGGCAUGCUUCUUGGUUAUUUCCAGAGCUGAGGGGCCUAGCAUGCAGCUUCCUCUGAACAUUCUGGAAUUCUACCAGGUAGCAGGCGAGGUGGGUAUCUCUCAUGGUCAUGUACUUCUACAAAUAUUUCACCUCACUCAUUCAUCUCAUUGCUCUAUCCCUAUUUCCUGGCUAUAGCAAAACUUAAUGCCUAUCUCCUACUUCUCCUUAAUUCCCAGCUUUUAAAGUCAACUAGAAUUAUUUGCACUCAGGUUGUAGGUUGGCGUGUGUCUGUGAAGACUGUACUUGUGGCUCAUUAUCGCCUCUCAGAAAUGGUUUUCUGAUGAAGACUCAUUCAUGAAACAGCCUAUACCCCAGUCUCAGAGGUGAAGGGACAGAAACAGAUGACAUUUCACUUGUUGCAGAGUAGGGAGUGAGCUGUUUACUGAGUGCAGGUGUCCUGGCAGGAGGCUGAGGCUGGCCUUUAGAGAUGAGCAGAGUGCUGAGACUUGCCAGUAGUACUCUCCAUAGCAGUGAGUCUAGAGGGUGGAAUUAUGUGACAGGGUCUCUAGUCAGGUUAAGUUGUCAUGGCCAUAGUCCCAAAGACCGUAAAUGACCACUAAACACUUGGGUGUGCUUUCAGUGUCACAAAGAGGUCAUUCCACAUAACUAAGCAGCAUUUUGUUCUAUUCUACUGGGAGCUGUGUCCUGAACUGACAUUAAAGGAAAAGUGGACCCACUCCUAGGAAGCCCUCUUGGGUUGUUUGUGGUACUAACCAUGCUGAACCCUUGUCUCUAGGCAAGCUCUGUACCUGUUGUCCCCAGUUUGGGGAUGAGAAUGUUUACUUUGUACCUCUGUGGAGCAGAAUGAUGUCAUCGCUUUUGAUAUUAUUGACUCGUGGUUAAGAGAAUGCACUCAGAACACACUCUGCACGGCUGCUUUUGAACAGUGUUGGAACCGCCGGGGGCUACGCAUGAGAGAGGCUGCUGCUUCUGACUCUGAUUGUGGGGAACAAGAACACGACCUGUUCUCACUGGCUCUGUAACAGCCGAGCUGCGUCUGUAGAGCUCAGAGGCAGUGACUGAAGAUGUAUGGGACUAGCCGCUGUCACCGAAGAGCCUGGACUGCCUGGACAGAGACGUGCUCCUUCUGUAGAAGUUUAGGACGAUUACUGAAGUAAAAGCACAGAAAGCCUUGCAGACCAUGACUGCCCUCCCCAGAUGAGCCUCUCAGGCACACACCACUUGUUGCUGACGGGUUUACAGUCCUUUCCUGCCCUGCUUGGAUAAUCAAGGGAAGAGGAACGUUCAGAGCCUAGACUGGGGCAUGUGAGUACCAUUUGGUUAAAAGUGAUUGCUUUGAGACAGGGUCUCGCAGUGUAGGUGUGGCUGGAGAUGUGAGAGAAGCUGGGACAGCAAUGACCACACACAGAAGGACCUUAGUGUGUAAUGACGAGAGGGUGAGCCUGCCCUUGGGCAUCUACUUGAGCUUUCUCCUAAGAACUUAAUGAGACUUUGGAAAGAACCAUCUCUAAGCUAAGCCUCUGAGGCCCACAGGUCUUGCCUGGUCCCCUCUCCAAGCUGUUUCUAUAUAUCUAGUUCCUUGGUGUGGGGAGAAAGCUCAGUUGAUGCUACGGAGAGAUCAAUUACAUGCUUUCCAGCAAGCCGUGGGCUGGCUGGCCAGCCCGGGGGAGCCCUGCUGGAGAUGUGUCCUGACAGCCCUUUGGAGACUGUGACUUCUGCUCUCUGGGCUCAAGGCCUGCUUAUGGGCAGAUUGUGAUUCCUCUGUUGGGAAUUGGGAGCCCAGGUAGGAAGGGGAAGGAAAUCUGAGCAGCUCUGCAAAAUUGACAGCUCCCUCUCUAGGCAGAAUCUGGGUGCCACAGUUCCUUUGCGGGAACAUGAGUGCAUGAGACAAAGCUGGGCCAGCAGCCCUA